rnacentral:rRNA from 1 species
UACGGAGGGUGCGAGCGUUGUCCGGAAUCAUUGGGCGUAAAGGGCGCGUAGGUGGCCCGGUCAGUUCGUGGUGAAAGCGCGGGGCUCAACCCUGCGUCGGCCAUGAAUACUGCCGCGGCUGGAGCACUGUAGAGGCAGGCGGAAUUCCGGGUGUAGCGGUGAAAUGCGCAGAUAUCAGGAGGAACACCGGUGGCGAAGGCGGAUCUCUGGGCCAUUACUGACGCUGAGGAGCGAAAGCGUGGGGAGCGAACAGG